rnacentral:lncRNA from 1 species
GACUCGAAGAAAAUCCGGACUCGUGUUUAACAAAACCCGGACUUGACUUUUGAAAACCCGGACUCGAAAUAGACAAAACCGGAUUCAAAACAAGGACUCUGCAUGUGUACGAGAAUGCAAAAGUUUUAUCGGUAAUAACUCGCGGAUAAAUGGAUUUGUGCUCUUGACUUGCGCGGGUGCCCCUCUCUCUUCUCGCUUUCUGUAUUGAUAGAUAGAAUACUUCAUUUCAAAAGCAAUAAGCUUUGGUUUCGAAAGAUGUAGAUUUUUGACUCAGUGUUAUAUAUGCGUUAUCUGAGGAUACUAAUCAGUUAUCAUACUAUAUGGUUCCUAACAAAAUAAUCACUAUAUAGCCUACCUAAACAAAUCAUUUAGGCACGUAAACACCAAAAUGCAUUUAUACAUACUUACUUACCUACUUAAUUUAAAAAUUUAUUUAACCACGCUGACCAUACACAACAUAUUUGUAAAAUUUGUAAAAUACAUACUCCUGCGAGUAGCUAAAUCUACCCUAGACAAAAAUUAAUAACUAAAAUCUGUCUCAGCGCUAGGAAUUCUUGUCUGUAAACCACUCGUUACAAGAUUGCUGCCAUCAUAGCAGACUCAACGUGAUCGAUGGCGGCAAGGGUAAAAUAUAUCCUCGGAACAUAUUCGACCUCA